rnacentral:rRNA from 1 species
GUCCAGACUCCUACGGGAGGCAGCAGUGAGGAAUAUUGGUCAAUGGACGCAAGUCUGAACCAGCCAAGUAGCGUGCAGGAUGACGGCCCUCCGGGUUGUAAACUGCUUUUAGUUGGGAAUAAAAGGGGGCUCGUGAGCCCCGUAUUGUAUGUACCAUCAGAAAAAGGACCGGCUAAUUCCGUGCCAGCAGCCGCGGUAAUACGUAGGGGGCAAGCGUUAUCCGGAUUUACUGGGUGUAAAGGGAGCGUAGACGGCAGUGCAAGUCCGGAGUGAAAGCCCGGGGCUCAACCCUGGGACUGCUCUGGAAACUGUAAAGCUGGAGUGCGGGAGAGGCAGGCGGAAUUCCUGGUGUAGCGGUGAAAUGCGUAGAUAUCAGGAGGAACACCGGCGGCGAAGGCGGCCUGCUGGACCGUAACUGACGUUGAGGCUCGAAAGCGUGGGGAGCAAACAGGAUUAGAUACCCGUGUAUU